UCGGACAUAUCACGUUGAAACACCUGUUCCCGUACGAUCGCAAAAGUUAAGCAACGUCGAAUCUGGGCAAUACCUAGAUGGGUAGCCGCUUGUGAAUAUCAGGUGCUGUAC